ACAGUGGACGCGAGCAUCUUUGUUGUAAGUGUUUAAGAGCGUACGGUGGAUGCCUUGGCACCAGGAGCCGAUGAAGGACGUAGGAGGCUGCGAUAAGCCUCGGGGAGCUGUCAACCGAGCUGAGAUCCGAGGAUGUCCGAAUGGGGAACCCAGCCACAGUGAUGUGUGGUUACCCGCGCCUGAAUAUAUAGGGCGUGUGGAGGGAACGUGGGGAAGUGAAACAUCUCAGUACCCACAGGAAGAGAAAACAACAUGUGAUUCCGUGAGUAGUGGCGAGCGAAAGCGGAAGAGGCUAAACCAUGGGUGUGUGAUAGCCGGCGGGCGUUGCAUUCGUGGGGUUGUGGGAUCCGUCUUGUCAAUUCUGCCGGAUUGGCCGACAGUGAGAAAUCAUCGUGUUAGUCGAAGUGGUCUGGAACGGCCUGUCGUAGAGGGUGAGAGUCCCGUAGACGAAAACAUGGUGACUGUCGUGACGGACACCCGAGUAGCAGCGGGCCCGUGAAAUCUGCUGUGAAUCUGUCGGGACCACCCGAUAAGCCUGAAUACUCCCUGGUGACCGAUAGCGGACUAGUACCGUGAGGGAAAGGUGAAAAGUACCCCGGGAGGGGAGUGAAAUAGUACCUGAAACCGUGCGCUUACAAUCCGUCAGAGCCUGCGCCACUUCGGUGGGUGGGUGAUGGCGUGCCUUUUGAAGAAUGAGCCUGCGAGUUAGCGGCAUGUCGCGAGGUUAACCCGUGUGGGGUAGCCGUAGCGAAAGCGAGUCCGAAUAGGGCGUUUGUAGUGGCAUGUUCUAGACCCGAAGCGGAGUGAUCUACCCAUGGCCAGGGUGAAGCGACGGUAAGACGUCGUGGAGGCCCGAACCCACUUAGGUUGAAAACUGAGGGGAUGAGCUGUGGGUAGGGGUGAAAGGCCAAUCAAACUCCGUGAUAGCUGGUUCUCCCCGAAAUGCAUUUAGGUGCAGCGUCGCGUGUUUCACUCUGGAGGUAGAGCUACUGGAUGGCCGAUGGGCCCCACAAGGUUACUGACGUCAGCCAAACUCCGAAUGCCAGAGUGUGAGAGCGCGGCAGUGAGACUGCGGGGGAUAAGCUUCGUAGUCGAGAGGGAAACAGCCCAGAUCGCCGGCUAAGGCCCCUAAGCGUGUACUAAGUGGAAAAGGAUGUGGGGUCGCGAAGACAACCAGGAGGUUGGCUUAGAAGCAGCCACCCUUGAAAGAGUGCGUAAUAGCUCACUGGUCAAGUGAUCCUGCGCCGACAAUGUAGCGGGGCUCAAGUACACCGCCGAAGCCGCGGCAUUCACAUAACACCCAUGCGGGUCUACGGGCCUGUGUGCAGUGGUGUGGAUGGGUAGGGGAGCGUCGUGCAGCCAUGGAAGCGCCGGAGUGAUCCAGGUGUGGAGGCUGCACGAGUGAGAAUGCAGGCAUGAGUAGCGAAAGACGAGUGAGAAACUCGUCCGCCGAAUGACCAAGGGUUCCUGGGCCAGGUUAAUCCGCCCAGGGUGAGUCGGGACCUAAGGCGAGGCCGACAGGCGUAGUCGAUGGACAACGGGUUGAUAUUCCCGUACCCGUGUGAACGCGCCCCUGGUGAAUCAGUGAUGCUAAGCGCCCUGAAGCCGCCUUCGAACCUUCGGGUUCUCCGGUGUGUGGAUGCGCGUGAACCGAUCUGGUAGUAGCCAAGCGAUGGGGUGACGCAGGAAGGUAGCUGAGCCAGUCAGUGGUAAUACUGGUGUAAGCGUGUAGGGCGUGACCUAGGCAAAUCCGGGUCACAUACAGCCUGAGACGUGAUGCGUAGCCGAUUGAGGCGAAUUCAGUGAUCCUAUGCUGCCGAGAAAAGCCUCUAGCGAGCUUUCACACGGCCCGUACCCCAAACCGACACAGGUGGUCAGGUAGAGAAUACUAAGGCGAUCGAGAUAACUGUGGUUAAGGAACUCGGCAAAAUGCCCCCGUAACUUCGGGAGAAGGGGGGCCUCGUCUGGUGACGGAACUUGCUUCCUGAGCUGGGUGGGGCCGCAGAGACCAGAGAGAAGCGACUGUUUACUAAAAACACAGGUCCGUGCGAAGUCGUAAGACGAUGUAUACGGACUGACGCCUGCCCGGUGCUGGAAGGUUAAGAGGACCGGUUAGCCAGUAAUGGCGAAGCUGAGAAUUUAAGCCCCAGUAAACGGCGGUGGUAACUAUAACCAUCCUAAGGUAGCGAAAUUCCUUGUCGGUAAGUUCCGACCUGCCGAAUGGCGUAACGACUUCUCUGCUGUCUCAACCACAGACUCGGCGAAAUUGCAUUACGAGUAAAGAUGCUCGUUACGCGCGGCAGGACGAAAAGACCCCGGGACCUUCACUAUAGCUUGGUAUUGGUGUUCGGUUCGGUUUGUGUAGGAUAGGUGGGAGACUGUGAAGCGGGCACGCCAGUGUUCGUGGAGUCGUUGUUGAAAUACCACUCUGAUCGUAUUGGACAUCUAACCUCGGACCAUGAUCUGGUUCAGGGACAGUGCCUGGUGGGUAGUUUUAACUGGGGCGGUUGCCUCCCAAAAUGUAACGGAGGCGCCCAAAGGUUCCCUCA
rnacentral:rRNA from 1 species